CAGUCGCCACGGGAAUACGAAGGGUGCAAGCGUUACUCGGAAUUACUGGGCGUAAAGCGUGCGUAGGUGGUGGUUUAAGUCCGUUGUGAAAGCCCUGGGCUCAACCUGGGAAUUGCAGUGGAUACUGGAUCACUAGAGUGUGGUAGAGGAUAGUGGAAUUUCCGGUGUAGCAGUGAAAUGCGUAGAGAUCGGAAGGAACAUCUGUGGCGAAGGCGACUAUCUGGGCCAACACUGACACUGAGGCACGAAAGCGUGGGGAGCAAACAGGAUUAGAGACCCCGGUAGUCCCUGUCUCUUAUAC
rnacentral:rRNA from 1 species